UACGGAGGGUGCAAGCGUUAUCCGGAUUUACUGGGUUUAAAGGGUGCGUAGGCGGGCAUUUAAGUCAGUGGUGAAAUACCUGAGCUUAACUUGGGAACUGCCAUUGAUACUAUUUGUCUUGAAUGUCGUGGAGGUUAGCGGAAUAUGUCAUGUAGCGGUGAAAUGCUUAGAUAUGACAUAGAACACCUAUUGCGAAGGCAGCUAACUACGCGAAUAUUGACGCUGAGGCACGAAAGCGUGGGGAUCAAACAGG
rnacentral:rRNA from 1 species